UAUUUUUAAUAAUAUGAUUUUCUUUGUAUUUUGUGUUUUUGAAUUGUUUGUAUUAUUUGAAUUGCUUAUCAUUUGUUUAUGUUUUUUAUUCCAUUCGAGAUUAUAUUUGUGUUUUUAAUAGUGUUCUAUUAUUUUCUGUGUUUUAAUUGUUUAGUGUAAUUCUAAUUUUUUUUUUCCUUUUUAUGGUUUAUGUAAUAGGAGUAAUUUCUAUAUUGGGAUCUCUGAUCGGGAAAUUUUUAAAAUAAAGUAAUUGGAUAUAAUGUUAGGCCGAUGAUGCUAAGGUAAAAACCACAAUCCGAUAUCUUUA
rnacentral:lncRNA from 1 species